UGAUAUGUUCUGUGUCUGCACUGUGUAG
rnacentral:piRNA from 1 species